AACACGUCAGGAACUUGUAGUGAGUCCCCACAAAUCCCCUGUGAAGUGGAACAUUUUUCAUCUGCCUCCAAGCAGGAGGUAAAACAUUUGUUUGACUUGUAUAAGGUCACAGAAAAAGAGAAAGGCAGAGAGCGCCAGAGCAGACGGAAAGAAGAACUGAGCUUAUGUUGAACCGAUCUCUAUUAGCCCAACAGGAUCAAGGAGGUGUGUUACAGCAACUCACAAGUCCAUCAAAUGAAGAUAUAUAUCAAAAUGGAGCAAAAUGUGAAGCAAAGAGGAGACGUGUCUAACCCUACUGUUCCUGCCGCAUAACCAGCGGGCGCAGCUAUGAAUCAGGCAAUGUGGGUUUAAGAUAUGGAUCACACUUCUGAACCAUGGAUCCCAGCCAAUGGCUACAUGGAUUUUUCACUCCUCGUUUCCACCACGUGGAAGUAGGUCCGGUACCAGGACUUCUUGUUAGAACUCCCGCGGAGGUCCGGAAACUGCAGAACGGGUGGGUCUGCAAAUAGGCUCGGAGUCAUUUCAUACACAUCCUUUCUGGGGUGGAAAAUUAGGGUCCACCGAAGGAGUCAGAGCCAUCUGUGACCUCCUGGAAAAUUGUCCUCAACAUGGGUCUGCUCAUAGUGCUUUCUUGCAAGCGGCAAUUGGGAGAGCAGUCUUCCCUCUCCUGCUGAAAAUAGACACUGAACCGUCAUCGCCUGGGGGCGGGUACCGGAGGAGCUGAGCCAGCCGGCUGCGCGUCCGGCCUCAAGGUGCCGCUUCUGUUCCUCGCCGACCCGGUCCUGGACUUGCCAGCAUCCAUCUUCAAGUUCUGGUAUUACUUCCUGGGAGCAGAUCGAAAUUGCCCAGAUCUGUUGUGCUUAGAUUCCUUA